UGUUGUCGGAGGCACAGGGAAAGAAGGACGGAGUCUCCCCAUGCAAGAUCACCAUGUUCAACAUGUUCCUGUAAAACCUGCUCAUAUCCAGCUACUUCCUAGAUGUCUCCCGUCCAUGCCAAGAACACUUGUACCAACAUUCUCUUGACAAGGAAAGCUCAUGUUAAUGACUCUCAC